rnacentral:rRNA from 1 species
GACGAACGCUGGCGGCGUGCUUAACACAUGCAAGUCGAACGAAGUGGCGAACGGGUGAGUAACGCUUAAUCAACCUGCCCUUCAGUGGGGGAUAACAGUUGGAAACGACUGCUAAUACCGCAUCCUGAAGGCCGGGUUUGCGGUGGAUUAGCUAGUGGGUGGGGUAACGGCUCACCAAGGCGAUGAGCAGUAGCCGGUCUGAGAGGAUGACCGGCCACAUUGGGACUGAGACACGGCCCAGACUCCUACGGGAGGCAGCAGUGGGGAAUCUUCCGCAAUGGACGAAAGUCUGACGGAGCAACGCCGCGUGAGUGAUGACGGCCUUCGGGUUGGAAAGCUCUGUUAAUCGGGACGCGGUACCGGAAUAGAAAGCCACGGCUAACUACGUGCCAGCAGCCGCGGUAAUAC